UAGGGUAUCGGGGGCUUCUUGGGGCUCAACCUCUGCACUUUGCCCCUAGACUCCGCACCCGCUGGCAGCGCUUCAGCUUCCGGCGACCGCGUGGGCUUUGCUGAGACCGCGGCACUGGCCUUUCCCUUUUCCCGUUCGGACCCCUGCUGGGGACCCCUGCUUUGCCUCCCGACCCGACCCAGCGCCGCUGCCCAGAGAAGAUCUGGAGACUCCCUGACCCUCGCGGGAUUCCCUGCUCCGAUGAGCCUGCCUGCCUAAGGCCUACCCUGGAGCUGCUCCCGCCUUCCCCUCCGCUGUUCAGCACGCCGACCUUCUGACCGCCUCCGAGCUCCCCACCUGGGCCCUUGUGCUCUUGAGACCCCCAGAGCUCGGUCUCCUGCUGCCUUCUUCAGACCUUUGCACGUUUCUUUCCAUGUCUGUCUCUAUAGAAGACAGAUGCCUUCGCAGCCCUGGUCCUGCCUUCACUGUCGCACUGUGUCAUUUUGACUGAAGCACAGAUACAUUCCUCGAGGGCAAGGAGGUUGUCUGCAGUGUUCUCCAGGGCCUGGCAUAGGGUAAUCCCAGAGGCCCCAGGGACCCAGAGACCGGCAGAAUGCACGACUGGCACAGGAUCUUUGACCAAAACCUGCUGGUCCCUCCGCACCCACAGAGAACACGCCAGCCUCUGAAGGAAUCAACAGCGUUUCAGUGUGUCCUGAAGUGGCUCGAUGGCCCGUUAAUUAAGCAGGGGGUGCUGGAGCUGCUGUCGGAGGUGGGCUGCCACCUGCGCGUGUCUCUCUUCGAUGUCACCUAUCGGUACUUCUUCGGGAGGACGUGGAAGAGCUCAUCGAGGCCUGCAGAGCCGCUCAGCAGGCAGCCGGCCAGGAUCGCCUUCAAUGAGCCCUUGUAUUUUCACACAUCCUUGAACCACCCUCAUGUUGUGGCCGUGGUGGAGGUGGUCGUUGAAGGCAGGAGACGAGAUGGGACCCUCCAGACUCUGUCCUGUGGGUUUGGAAUUCUUCGGAUCUUCAGCCACAAGCCGGAAUCUCCAACUUCCACUUUGCAGGACAAACGGCUUAGACUGUAUCAUGGGAGCCCGCGAGCCCUCCUCCACCCGCUCCUUCAGGACCCCAUAGAACAGAACAAGCACAUGACCCUCAUUGAGAACUGCAGCCUGCAGUACACGCUGAGGCCAUACCCGCUCCUGGAGCCCGUGUUCCAUCUUCUUCCCGAGAACCUGCUGGUGUCCGGUCUGCAGCAGAUACCUGGCCUCCUUCCAGCUCAUGGAGAAUCAGGAGAUGCCCUCCGGAAGCCCCGCCUGCAGAAGCCUCUGAUGUGCUACCUGGAUGAUCUGUUCUUCACGCUGUAUCCCUCGCUGGAGAAGUUUGAGGAAGAGCUUCUGGAACUCGUUAUCAGCGAUUGCUUCCGGGAGGCGGGCAGCCCGCUGGAUGUCGGUGCCCUGGAGAUCCUGGAGCGGCGUCUGUGUGUGGGCGUGCACAAUGGGUUGGGCUUCGUGCAGCGGCCGCAGGUCCUCGUGCUGGUGCCCGAGCUGGAGGUGGCCUUGACACGCUCUGCCAGCUUCAGCCGGAAGGUUGGCUCCUCUUCCAAGGCCAGCUCUGGAAACCAGGCUCUGGUCCUGAGAAGCCGGCUCCGACUCCCUGAGAUGGUCCGUCACCCCGCGUUCGCCAUUGUCUUCCAGCUGGAGUACGUGUUUAACAACCCCUCGGGGGCGGACGGCAACGCAGCUUCACUCACCUCCUUGUCCAGCCUGGCAUGUAUGCACAUGGUUCGCUGGGCCGUCUGGAACCCCUCGCUGGAAGCCGGCUCCGGGCGGGUGAUGUUACCUCUCCAGGGUGGCAUCCAGUCCAACCCUUCGCACUGUCUGGUCUAUAAGGUACCCGCAGCCAGCAUGAGCUCCGAAGAGGUGAAGCAGGUGGAGUCAGGGACGGUCCAGUUCCAGUACUCGCUGAGCCCUGAAGAACACCCAGACAUACCCACAGGGAGUGCAAGCGGCCCCAAGGCAGAGCGGCGGUCUUUUAGGAAGCCACCCACGUCCCCUUCAAGCCCACCAGCAUCGCCGUCCCAGGGGCUCACCGCUCCCCAGGACUCACCUGUGGGACCAGGGCUGUCGCUUUCCCAGCUGGCGGCUUCCCCACCAUCCCCAGCUCCACGCCACCACUCGGCCAAACCCUCAUCACAGCCACCUGGGAGCCCUGUGCCCUCUCUGGUCCCAGGGGAGUUCCCCUUGGAGGGCAGGAUCUCUCACCUGGAGGCUGACCUGAGCCAGACAGCCUUAGCCCUGGGAACGUCCGCUGCUGACCACUUGCAGGAACUGCCUUUCACACCCGUGCACGCCCCAAUCAUUGCAGGAACCCAGACCAGGAGCUCUGGAGGGAAGCUGUCACGGGCCUCCCUGGCACUGCUGCAGUCCGCUGGCUUUCCCGAGAUUCUGGACGCCAACAGGCAACCAGUUGAGGCUGUGAGCCCUACAGACCCCGUGAAGUUCAGCCCUCAGAAGGAAGAAUCGGACUGUCUACAAGGCAAUGAGAUAGUGCUGCAGUUUCUUGCCUUUAGCAGGGUGCCCCAGGAUGAGCAGGCAGCGCCAUGGCCUCAGACUGUGUACUUCACGUUCCAGUUCUACCGCUUCCCGCCCGAGACCACACCACGGCUGCAGCUCGUGGAGCUGGCCGAUGCGGGGAGGACCAGCUCUGCCUCCCUGUCGCACAUCCUCGCCCAGAUCCAGAAGGAUGGCUCCUUUGAUGUGGGCUCUCCGGGCUUUCAGCGGAAGUACCUGGUGGACCCUGGGUUCCUGAGACCCGGGGAGCAGCGCUGGUUCACCCGCUACCUGGCCAUGCAGACCCUGCAGAUCGAUGUCUGGGAUGGGGACUCCCUGCUUCUUGUCGGAUCUGCUGCCGUUCAGCUGAAGCACCUCCUCCGCCAGGGGCGGCCGGCCGUGCAGGUCUCGCACGAGCUGGAGGUUGUGGCGACUGAAUACGAGCAGGACGCCAUGGUGGUGAGUGGAGACAUGACCAGGUUUGGCUGCGUCAAACCCAUCGACAUCCACACAGUGGUGAAGGGCCAGCUGCACUUGACCUUGGCCAACGUGGGUCACUUGUGUGAACAGAGAGUGAGGAGUCCCAGUUCCCUGCCACCUUCCAGGUCGAGGGUCAUCUCAAAUGAUGGAGUCAGCAACUUCAUGGGAGGCAGCCUGCUGACACCUGGGGGCCCCAGAUCAGUGAAAAAUGUGGUCCAAGCCCAGAAGCUGGCUGAUGUGGACAGCGAACUGGCCGCCCUGCUCUUCACACCCCCGAGACCGGGGGCCCGGGGGCCCCAGGGCAUCGGUCAAGAGGGGGAUGCUGUCCGCAGGCGCAAGCUGGAGCGCAUGAGGGCCGUGAGACUGCAGGAGUGUGGAUCGGAGCCGGGCCGCCACGGGCGGGGUGCGCUGGCCCAGCAGAGCCUCCAUGCCCAGCACGCCCGAGACCUGCAGGUCAUUGCUGCCUACCGUGAGCGCACGAAGGCGGAGAGCAUCGCCAGCGCGCUGAGCACGGCCAUAACCACGCAGCACACCAUCCACGCCACGCUGGGCGCUGCUGAGUUCUUCGAAUUCGCCCUGAGGAACCCCCACAAUGCGCAGCACACGGUGACCAUCGAGAUAGACAACCCCGAGCUCAGUCUCAUCCUGGAUGGUCAGGAGUGGCGGUACUUCAAGGACGUGGCUGACUUGCACACGCCGCUGGAGGAGGACAUGUUCCACCUGCGGGGCAGCCUGCCCCCCCAACUCUUCCUGCGACCUCGGGAGACUGCCCACAUCCCCUUCAAGUUCCAGACUUUCUCUGUGGGCCCAUGGGCCUCAGCACAGGCCUCUGCUGAGCUGAGAUCAGAGAAGGACACGGAUGCUGGGUCACCCUGUAAGUCCAGCACGAUGCCCACCAAACAUGCCAAGGUCCUGUUCCGUGCGGGCAGCGGCAAGCCCCUGGCGGUGCUCUGCCUGACGGCGGAGCUGCAGCCCCACGUGGUGGACCAGGUCUUCCGCUUUUAUCACCCAGAGCUCACCUUCCUGAAGAAGGCCAUCCGCCUGCCGCCCUGGCAUGUGCUUCCAGGUGCCCCUGUAGGGACGACCAGUGAGGACCCUCCUCUCCACGUUCGAUGUAGUGACCCGAACAUCAUUUGUGAGACACAGAAUGUGGGCCCCGGGGAGCCCCGUGACGUGUUCCUGAAGGUGGCCAGUGGCCCUAGCCCAGAGGUCAAGGACUUCUUUGUCACCAUCUACGUAGACCGCUGGUUGGCAACGCCUGUCCAGACCUGGCAGGUCCACCUACACUCGCUGCAGCGAGUGGACGUCUCCUGUAUCGCCGGCCAGAGGACCCGCCUGGCUCUCGUCCUCCGGGGGACGCAGACAGUUAGGAGGGUGCAGGCUUUCAGCUCACACCCCCAGGAGCUGACGACGGACCCCAGAGGUGUGUUUGUGCUGCCCCCUCAUGGGGUUCAGGACUUGCAUGUGAGCGUCAGGGCCCGCAGGCCGGGCAGCCGCUUCACGCACCUCCACCUGGUCGACGUGGACGCUCACCAGCUAGUGGCCUCAUGGCUCCUGUGUCUCUCCUGCCGGCCGCCUCUCAUCUCCAAGGCCUUCGAGAUCAAGCUGCCCGCGGGGGGCGGGAGGGGUGCCAACAAGCGCAUCACCUACACCAACCCCUACCCCUCGCGGAGGGCCUACCGCCUGCACAGUGACCACCCCCACCUGCUGCAGUUCAAGGAGGACGCCUUCCAGGUCGGGGGAGGCGAGACCUAUACCAUCGGCCUGCGGUUUGCGUCCCGUCAGAGAGCUGGGGAGGAGGAGAUCCUGAUUUACAUUAACGACCAUGAAGACAAAAACGAGGAGACCUUUUGCGUGAAGGUCAUCUACCAGUAGAGGAAGGGGCUGUCCUGCCAUUCUCAGGGGCUGCUCCUGUCCCAGGACUCUGCUCCGUGAACUCAGCCAAGGAUCGCGGGGUCCCCGCGCCCUGACCGUGUAUGAUGGUCCUGUCCCAUCCCGUCAGGCUGCUGCCAGUACCGACUGCAUAGCAGUCCCGUGGCAGAUGUGAGCGCCCCAGUGAACCCAGGCCAGUUUCUCUCUGUGGCACACGGGCGUCGUCAGUGUCUAUGACAUUAGGGUUUGCGCUCAGCAAAAUGUAUUUUUUGAAUUAUUUUAAAUGAUAAAAUUAUGCUUUUUUACUGAGUUUUAUACAAACACUAUAUUGUUUGGUAUGUAAUUUUUUUUUAUACUGGUAUUAUUUCACAUCUUUAAAAAAAAUUACAAAAAUAUGAAACUUUUACACAUU